UACGUAGGGGGCAAGCGUUGUCCGGAUUUAUUGGGCGUAAAGAGCGUGUAGGCGUCCAGACAGGUCCGUUGUGAAAACUCGAGGCUCAACCUCGAGACGUCGAUGGAAACCGUCUGGCUAGAGUCCGGAAGAGGAGAGUGGAAUUCCUGGUGUAGCGGUGAAAUGCGCAGAUAUCAGGAAGAACACCUAUGGCGAAGGCAGCUCUCUGGGACGGUACUGACGCUGAGACGCGAAAGCGUGGGGAGCGAACAGG
rnacentral:rRNA from 1 species